rnacentral:rRNA from 1 species
GGGGAGCAAGAACACAGGGAUGCCCCAGUAACGGCGAGUGAAGCGGCAACAGCUCAAAUUUGAAAUCUGGCCCCUUGGGGUCCGAGUUGUAAUUUGUAGAGGAUGCUUUUGAUGAGGCGCCGCCUGAGUUCCCUGGAACGGGACGCCAUAGAGGGUGAGAGCCCCGUCUGGCUGGCCGCCGAGUCUCUGUAAAGCUCCUUCGACGAGUCGAGUAGUUUGGGAAUGCUGCUCAAAAUGGGAGGUAUAUGUCUUCUAAAGCUAAAUACCGGCCAGAGACCGAUAGCGCACAAGUAGAGUGAUCGAAAGAUGAAAAGCACUUUGAAAAGAGGGUUAAAUAGUACGUGAAAUUGUUGAAAGGGAAGCACUUGUGACCAGACUUGGGCUUGGCGAAUCAUCCGGCGUUCUCGCCGGUGCACUUUGCCUCGUCCAGGCCAGCAUCAGUUCGUCGCGGGGGACAAAGGCUUCGGGAACGUGGCUCCUCCGGGAGUGUUAUAGCCCGCUGCGUAAUACCCUGCGGUGGACUGAGGUUCGCGCAUCUGCAAGGAUGCUGGCGUAAUGGUCAUCAGUGACCCGUCUUGAAACACGGACCAAGGAGUCGUCUUCGUAUGCGAGUGUUCGGGUGUCAAACCCCUACGCGUAAUGAAAGUGAACGCAGGUGAGAGCUUCGGCGCAUCAUCGACCGAUCCUGAUGUUCUCGGAUGGAUUUGAGUAAGAGCAUACGGGGCCGGACCCGAAAGAAGGUGAACUAUGCCUGUAUAGGGUGAAGCCAGAGGAAACUCUGGUGGAGGCUCGCAGCGGUUCUGACGUGCAAAUCGAUCGUCAAAUAUGGGCAUGGGGGCGAAAGACUAAUCGAACCUUCUAGUAGCUGGUUUCCGCCGAAGUUUCCCUCAGGAUAGCAGUGUUGAUCUCAGUUUUAUGAGGUAAAGCGAAUGAUUAGGGACCCGGGGGCGCUAUUUAGCCUUCAUCCAUUCUCAAACUUUAAAU